AGUGAACGCUGGCGGUAGGCCUAACACAUGCAAGUCGAACGGCAGCACAGUAAGAGCUUGCUCUUACGGGUGGCGAGUGGCGGACGGGUGAGGAAUACAUCGGAAUCUACUUUUUCGUGGGGGAUAACGUAGGGAAACUUACGCUAAUACCGCAUACUACCUACGGGUGAAAGCAGGGGAUCUUCGGACCUUGCGCGAUUGAAUGAGCCGAUGUCGGAUUAGCUAGUUGGCGGGGUAAAGGCCCACCAAGGCGACGAUCCGUAGCUGGUCUGAGAGGAUGAUCAGCCACACUGGAACUGAGACACGGUCCAGACUCCUACGGGAGGCAGCAGUGGGGAAUAUUGGACAAUGGGCGCAAGCCUGAUCCAGCAAUACCGCGUGGGGGAAGAAGGCCUUCGGGUUGUAAAGCCCUUUUGUUGGGAAAGAAAAGCAGCAGGUUAAUACCCCGCUGUUCUGACGGUACCCAAAGAAUAAGCACCGGCUAACUUCGUG
rnacentral:rRNA from 1 species